GACUCGGUGGUGUAGUGGUGGAGCACGCGACACCGGAUAGGAUAAAACGCGGAUUCGAUUCACGCCUGAGGCCA